rnacentral:rRNA from 1 species
AUUGAACGCUGGCGGCAGGCUUAACACAUGCAAGUCGAGCGGAGCGAGGGUGCUUGCACCUUAGCUUAGCGGCGGACGGGUGAGUAAUGCUUAGGAAUCUGCCUAUUAGUGGGGGACAACAUUCCGAAAGGGAUGCUAAUACCGCAUACGCCCUACGGGGGAAAGCAGGGGAUCUUCUGACCUUGCGCUAAUAGAGGAGCCUAAGUCGGAUUAGCUAGUUGGUGGGGUAAAGGCCUACAAAGGCGACGAUCUGUAGCGGGUCUGAGAGGAUGAUCCGCCACACUGGGACUGAGACACGGCCCAGACUCCUACGGGAGGCAGCAGUGGGGAAUAUUGGACAAUGGGCGGAAGCCUGAUCCAGCCAUGCCGCGUGUGUGAAGAAGGCCUUUUGGUUGUAAAGCACUUUAAGCGAGGAGGAGGCUACUAGUAUUAAUACUACUGGAUAGUGGACGUUACUCGCAGAAUAAGCACCGGCUAACUCUGUGCCAGCAGCCGCCGUAA